GUUUCAGUUCCUUAAAGAGUAGACAUGGAUGAGGAGAGUUCUGAGAUUCCAUGAAGGGAAUGAUUCUUGCCCUAAUCAAUACAGCAUAAUGGGUCUCACUCUGUCACCCAGGAUGGAGUGCAGUGGCACAAUCUUGACUCAAUGCAGCCUCAACCUCCCGAGCUCAAGUGAUCCUCCCACCUCAGCCUCCUGAAUAGCUGGGACUAUAGGUGCACAUCACCACACCAGGCUAAUUUUUUGUAUUUUUUGUAGAGAUGG